CGUAAAGCGCGCGUAGGUGGCUUGAUAAGCCGGUUGUGAAAGCCCCGGGCUCAACCUGGGAACGGCAUCCGGAACUGUCAAGCUAGAGUACAGGAGAGGAAGGUAGAAUUCCCGGUGUAGCGGUGAAAUGCGUAGAGAUCGGGAGGAAUACCAGUGGCGAAGGCGGCCUUCUGGACUGAUACUGACACUGAGGUGCGAAAGCGUGGGUAGCAAACAGGAUUAGAUACCCUGGUAGUCCACGCCGUAAACGAUGUCGACCAGCCGUUGGGUGCCUAGCGCACUUUGUGGCGAAGUUAACGCGAUAAGUCGACCGCCUGGGGAGUACGGCCGCAAGGUUAAAACUCAAAUGAAUUGACGGGGGCCCGCACAAGCGGUGGAGCAUGUGGUUUAAUUCGAUGCAACGCGAAGAACCUUACCUACCCUUGACAUCCUGCGAACCCGGAAGAGAUUCCGGGGUGCCUUCGGGAACGCAGAGACAGGUGCUGCAUGGCUGUCGUCAGCUCGUGUUGUGAAAUGUUGGGUUAAGUCCCGUAACGAGCGCAACCCUUGUCCUUAUUUGCCAGCACGUAAUGGUGGGAACUCUAAGGAGACUGCCGGUGACAAACCGGAGGAAGGUGGGGACGACGUCAAGUCAUCAUGGCCCUUACGGGUAGGGCUACACACGUGCUACAAUGGCCGGUACAAAGGGUUGCAAACUCGCGAGAGCAAGCCAAUCCCAGAAAGCCGGUCUCAGUCCGGAUCGGAGUCUGCAACUCCACUCCGUGAAGUCGGAAUCGCUAGUAAUCG
rnacentral:rRNA from 1 species